GGGCGAUUAGCUCAGCUGGCUAGAGCGCAGGUAUCACACACCUGAGGUCACAGGUUCGAGCCCUGUAUCGCCCA
rnacentral:tRNA from 2 species